rnacentral:rRNA from 1 species
UGAACACCGAUAGAAAGUAAUCUCCUGCCCAGUGAACUAUUUUAAACGGCCGCGGUAUCCUAACCGUGCAAAGGUAGCAUAAUAACUUGCCUAUUAAUUGUAGGCUAGCAUGAACGGGGUAACGAAAUAAGACCUUUCUUUUAUAAACCUAUAAAAACUAAUAUUAAAGUGAAGAAGCUUAAAUAACAUUAAAGGACAAGAAGACCCUAUAGAGCUUUAAAUUAAAACUACACCAUAUAAUACAUUUCGGUUGGGGCAACCAAGGAUAAAUCAACCUCUUAUAAAUAAGAUAAACACAUCAUACCAAUGAUCCUAACAUAGAUCACCGAACUAAGCUACCUUAGGGAUAACAGGCUAAUCCUAUUAAAGAGCUCUUAUCAACAAUAGGGA